UCCUGUGACGGGCCAGGUGCUGACACGGUCACCAGGUUUAUGGUGUUUCCUCCGACGCAAAAUGUUUUUUUUUUUGUGGAUGGGUAUCAUUUGUAUGUAUAAAAUAGUCAUAGUUAAAAUUACUAAAUUGGAUAAUUUUUAUACAUUUUAUUUAAAUUUGCAUCAGGCCGCUUCUGGGGGUAUUCUGGUAAAAUGGCUGCAAAGUUCGCUGAAUUCCGGUAGAUGGAAACGGCCCGAUGUACUUGGGCCGAUUCUGGGCCAUUAUUCAUUUUGAUUCCAGGCCGAGUCCGACAUCCGAUUCCGGGUCGAUUCAAUCAGUUCCAUCCCCCGCUUCUGGGCCGAUUCCUCAUUGCUAGCUGGGAUGGGUUCCCUUUUUCUUCACAUGCAACAGCACGGGAGUAACGCUCUCGAAGACAAUAUUCAGGAGAGACAUGCUCAGCCUGAGUACUGGGAGAUGGGGACAAUGUUCUUAGGUUUGAAUUCAUUUUUGGUGAUCAUGUGAUUGACUACAGGCAGAGGGUAGAACAUGCAUUAAGACAUUGAGACUGCACUCACAGAGAGCAUGUGCAUGUAACUGUUGCUCAUGGUUGCUCAAUUCAGAACCACCAAAGACAGUACAGUAAGAAGCGAGACAUAAACUGCUUCUUCAAUAGAAAUCAUGAUAACGCUUGUAGGUGAUGUCAUGGCGACGUUGGCUAGCUAAACUCAUGCGCAGAAACGUCAUCAAGUCUAACGGUCGUCUCGCGCCGAACUGGGUAUAUGCAGGCUGUCAAAUCAAAGGCACUCCUUCGAUAUUACGUUUUAUUACGAAAAUCACUUUCACAAGGUUGGAGUAAUAACAUGUUCAACUGCUUAAGACAUUGGCUGGUUUCUAUGUUGUGCCUUUAGAUUCCGAGAAAAUUAAUGAAGAAUUUUUCACGUCUCUCAUUGACUAUGAAGGUAAAAUAGUGCCUUAAGUGUACACGGAUGUAAAGUAUGAUUUGCACAUGUAAAAUAUGAGUUGCACCUGUAUAAUCAGUGAUGUAGUUGCAAAAAAUAUUUGAAAACAUGUAACUUCUUUUGAGAAUAAAUGCAACAAAACUUGCAAGCACAACAUGAUGUGGGAAUUAACACAAUAUGAUUUGCAAGCAUGCAACUACAUUUGAGAAUGCAGCUCAUUUACUAAACUUGCGACUGGUGAAUGUUCUUCUGUUAAUCAAAACUACAUUUGCCAAUGUCGAAUCUGUGUGCUCCCAAGUUUUGUCAGUAAUGUAGCGACUAACCUCAGCCAAAAGUUUUGUAGUUGUACAAAAUAAUUAUGCAAGUAGCAGCAGAGAAAUACUCAAGCUCUGGUGGACAGGGCUUUUUUCUCCAGUGUUAUUCUGGAACGUGCUUUCACAUUUCACAGGGUUCCGGUCUGGAAGCGUGCUUUCCAAUGUGCUAAAUAUGGAUCAAAUUUGUCAAAAUUACUAGCCUCGUUUCUAUUGACAUUACAUGGCUGGUUAGCUAGCUAGCAUUAGAGCUUUCUGGCUAGCCUGUGUCUAGUGAUUCUUACAUUGUGUAACAGAGCAAUAGGUUUAGCUAUGCACUUGUCAUUUGGUUGAGACUCAUUAGUUUAGAAAAUAAUUGUUUGCUCUGUGUAUAUUUGGUGUGAAGUUGAUUGGCUUUGCUAGUUAGCAAGCUGCGAUCUCUGCUCAAGUUGACUACCGCUAGCUAGCUUGCUAAUACGUUUUAGAGGAGAACAGGCUGGCUACCUGUAGAAUCAAGACAAGACAGGAUGGGGAAGAAGAUUAUAUUUGCAGUUUCGUCAUCAGGCUGAUGCAGUGCCCAGAUGAGAUGAGAGAUAAAAAGGAUCUUGUUUGCAGACUUCUUCCUGAUUAACAUGAUCCUGCGGGUAGAGGGCUUCUUGGCAGCCAUCCCCUUCAGGACGCUGGUGGCCAUCUUGGAUUUGUGGUUUGGCAUCUCCAUGCCUCACACCUUCGUGAUCGCCUAGCCUAAUUCGUCUUCAAGAAGUCUGAGUUUCAUCUAUCAAUCACACUCUCUGUCAAUCACACUCUCUGUAUGAAUCUCUUUCAGGCAGAGGCUCCUAAGAGGAGGAAGGGGAGUACCAUCUUCCUCAGUGAAAUUCAUAAAAAUUAAAAUUGUAAAACAUUUCAAAAGUUAUCCUUUUUAGUUAAAACUAUACUAAAUAUAAUCAAGUCAAUAAUGUUGUCCACCCAAUCAAAGGAUCAGAAUGAAUAUAGUACUGAACGCAUAAGCUACAGGUAGCUACCACUGCAGUGUAUAAAAUGUGCUGUAGUUGACUCAAAGAGAGAAUUACAUUAGUGAAACAGUUUUGAAUAAAUUAAUUUCUUCCAAAAUGAAGGAGAAGCAAGA